rnacentral:RNase_P_RNA from 1 species
UAUAAUAAUUAGUAUAAUUAAAAGGAAAGUUAUAUAAAUACAGGAAAUAUAUAUAAAUAAUAAUAUAUUUUAUAUUUAUAUAUAAAUAUAUAUAAUAUAACCUAUAAUAUUUUAUAAUAUAAUUAAAUUAUAUUUAUUUACCUUUUAAGGUAAUAUAUUUAAUUAUAUAGUUAAAUAAAUAUACUAAACAUAUGCUUAUUAAUUAUAUAAUAAUUAUUAUUUAAUA